rnacentral:lncRNA from 1 species
CCCGCGGAGGCAGGUAGAAGAUUCUGAGGCCCUGGGCGGGAACUAGUAAGCCACAAUCUGGAAGAGUCUUUUAUCACCAUGUGGAGACCUAGAGCAUUCAUGUUGAACUAUUACUGAGAUAAGCAAUCAACUUCUUUUGUGUUAAGUCACUGAAAGGUGGUGAUAACUUCUGGAAACACCAAGGACUGAAAAGAAAGGAAACUGCAGAAAGUGGAGGGCCACAGAAGCAGCAGAUCACAGGCUUUUUCUCAGGGGCUUGUCUCAGCUAGUGUUCCAAGACUAGCAAUCCAUAAACAUUGCUUGCCCUGGGGGGAAAAUAAAGAUUUCGCCAAUACUGCAUCUCUUCGAUUUUUACCCAUUUCCUUUACUUGGUCCUAUUUUUACUUGGUCAAAGAAAUACCUGUAUCAUAUACUCAGAAUUUCCCCUUAAUUAUAAGUUAAAAAAAAAAGUCAAUAAAAGACAAAAUGGGAAGUGUUGAAGCACUGUCCAGAAACGAUAGUAAUAGCAAUAUAAAAAGAAGAAGGGUAGUGAACUGACCUUAGCAAAUUUGCUCUGCCACUGAUUUGCUAGUCAAGUGACCCUAUUUUCCUGACUCUGUUUCUUUAGUAAAAUGUGGAUGUUAUCAUAGGUGACCGCAGAUCCCGAAGUUCCUUUGUGUGUGUGUGUGUGGGCGGGGGGUGAGAUUUAAAAAUUUGAUUCAAAUAAAUUUCCAUUUGCU